UUUUCAUUUUAUGAUGACCAUUGCUAUCCCAGCUCACUCUGAUAUAUACAAAAAUGAAGAGGAAGAUAGCUCAAAUAUUUAUACAAUUCUGAUAUU